GCCCGAGUAGCUCAGCCUGGAUAGAGCAGCGCCCUUCUAAGGCGAAGGUCACAGGUUCGAAUCCUGUCUCGGGUACCA
rnacentral:tRNA from 1 species